GUGAGUUCCAGGACAGCUAGAGCUACACAGAGAAACCCUGUCUCCAACAAAAACCAACCAACCAACCAAACAAACAAAACAAGGAAAGAAAGGAAGGAAAGAUGGGUGAGGAACUGGAGAGAUGGCUCAGUGAUUAAGAGUAUGUACUGCUCCUCUAGAAUUUGAUUCCUAGCACCCAUAUUAGGUGACUCACAACUGGCUAUAUUAUAUUAGGCUAUUAUCUUAGGUUUAAUCUUUCAGGAUUCCUAAAGCCCAAAAUUAUUAUUUCUGAGGGCAUAGUUCUGGUUCCCACUAUAGGAUGCAAGCUUUCAGGGGACACACACACACACACACACACACACACACACACACACACACACACGCUCGCACACGAUUAAUACGAACCAAAUCUUUUAUUUUAUAGAUAAAUGAAAGCAAAGUCAAUUUUGUUAAAAAGAGUUGGCUCACAGGAGAAGGAGAAAUGGGGUCAUGGCCAGUAAGGAAAAGAGAAUCAAGAAUUUGUUGUUUUGAAAUAGGCUGCCCUUGAAUUGUUUUGAAAUCUCUAUGUAGUGGGAAAUGACCUUGAAAUCUUGAUCUUCCAGCCUUCACCUUUCAAUUGCUGGGAUUACAGAUAUGCACUAUCACACCAAAUUUAUACAAUAAUAGGUAUUGAACCUGCAGUUUUACAUGUGCUAGGCAACUACCCCACCAACUGAACAGGACCACACACUCAGUCCUAGUAUGUGUGUGUGUGUGUGUGUGUGUGUGUGUGUGUGUGUGAGAUUUAUUUAUUUAUUUAUCUAUUUAUUUAUCUAUCUAUCUAUCUUGUUCUUUCAAGACAGGGUUCCUCUAUGUAGCCCUUACUGUCCUGGAACUCACUCUGUAGAUCGCCUGACCUCAAAUUCAGAGAUCCACCUACCACUGCUGGGAUCAAAGUGUGUGCCACUACUGCCUGGCUUGCGUGCUUUAAAAUUUAAUCUUUAUUAUUGAUUUGUGUGUCUGAGAGUUGGGGUAGGAUGCUUGUGGAGGUCAAGAGAGGACAUCUGACCUCCUGGAACCAGAGUAACAGUACGUAACCAGUAAGUGCUGGGAUUCAAACUUGGAUCUUUUGGAAGAGCAGCAAGUUCUCUUAACUGAGAACCUUCUUUCUAGCCUUCAGUUACAGAUUUUCAUGUGAGUAUGUGUGGUGGGGUGUUAUUUUGAGACAGGGUCUCUUUAUGUAGCCCCAGAUAUCUUGGAACUCCCUGUGUAGACCAGGCUGGCCUUGAACUCACAGCUCACAGAGAUCUGCUUGCCUCUGCUUCCAGAGUGCAGUGAUUAAAGGCAUGAUCUCUGUUGUGUUUUUUUUUGAACGAUCUCUUAUAGUCUGGACUGGCCUUGAAGUCACUACACAGCAGAGACUGUCCUUGUACUCCUGAUCUUUCUGCCUCUGCCUCCAAAGUGCAAGUAUUAAAGAUGUAUGCUACUAUACUCAUCUCAGGAGAAUUUUUAACUGAGCCAAACAAUGGCAUGUUUGUAUGCUGAUAUGAAAAGUCCAAUAGAAAAAUGAUAAGAGUUGAGUUUAAGAAUGCAAUGUUAGAAUUUAGCUGCUGUUUAGUCCACAAAUCUUCUGCAAUAGCUUUCGUUCUUACAGAGACACCAGCCUGAGCCCUGCUGAGACAUUGUGAAUCCCUAGCUAACAGACCUCUGGGUGCUGGGUUCCUCACCCUGGAAGUGAGUUGACAUCAAAGGUGGUAUUGCUCUCCACUCACUGCCUUCUGCCUAGAAUCAGAGAGCAUGGCUGCAUGUGCUGUGAAUCUUCCCCCAUCCUCAGAAAGUUAUGGAAACUCUCCUAUCAAGUUAUCUCCUCUCGAGAGAGACCUGCCAUGCUGUUUCUUCUGUCUGUUUUUGGUGUUGAUAACUUUUCUAAUAAAUUCUUUACUCCCC
ensembl:processed_transcript Gm36070 predicted gene, 36070